UACGUAGGGCGCAAGCGUUAUCCGGAAUUAUUGGGCGUAAAGAGCUCGUAGGCGGUUUGUCGCGUCUGCCGUAGAACGUCCGGGGCUCAACUCCGGAUCUGCGGUGGGUACGGGCAGGCUAGAGUGAUGAGGGGGAGACCGGAAUUCCUGGUGUAGCGGUGAAAUGCGGCAGAUAUCAGGAGGAACACCGAUGGCGAAGGCAGGUCUCUGGGCCGAUACUGACGCUGAGGAGCGAAAGCGUGGGGAGCGAACAGG
rnacentral:rRNA from 1 species